CUUGGUAUAUAUGUACAUCAAACUUGCUAAAAACCAACAGCCUAGAGUAUUUCUGGUUCCCUAAUCAUGCAUGUCACUUGUUUGAUUUGCAUGCAAAAGGUAAGUAGGGUCCCUUGCUCCCAAAUCCAUCCCCACUUCAUUGGAGGCUUUUGUGUGUUUCACAAGGGAUGGCAUCAUUUUUUCUUUUUUUGACAUAAAUGAACAGUUUAAUUCCUUUUUUCUACUACAUUAAGCAACUUGAAUGAAAAAACAAGUAUAGCUUGGACUUAUUUAUUCUCACAUGCUACUUUCCUGUUCAAAUUUUAAAAAGGCGAGCAGCAAGUCUAUUAUUUGUCUGUAAACAGCAGAUCUGAUUAUGUAUGUAUCGUAUCACUCACCAGUCAUUUUGUUUCUUUCCUCAAAUUCGCUGGAAUGUGAUUGCUGUUUUUCACUGUGAUUAAAUUUUAGAAGUUGUGGUAAUUGUUAAUGUGUUGGACUUGUUUCUAUUUCACCUAACAAAAGGGGGCAAAUGAGAAACAAAAAAAGAAAGAGGCAAAGAAGGAACGAAUGAAAAGGAAAGAGCACAGAAGAAUGAGAAGGUAGCAUUGUUAUCUGCCAUUCAUCAUUCGUGGAAGAAAAGUUUCAACAAGUGAGCAUAUAUAUGUAUGUAAAUAGAUGACUGCCUCCCAUGGAGAAAUAAAAUGAUGGUAUGAAAACGUGAGAGGAAUAGUGAGUUCCAGUCUUUGUUGACAUCUCUUUGUGAUCCAUGUAUGGCUGCCAAAAGGGUAUUAUUCCUGAUGCUUGAAUAUUCUCUUGCUCGAGACAGUUAAACACUGGCUUGGCUUCCUUCUGGUUUAAUAAUUUUUAGAGAAGACGGUCAUCUUAAUCGAGGAGUAUUAAUGAAGCCGAUUUGGAUAAAGCUGGACAAGUGAUGAUCCGGAGGAGUUCUUGUGAAAAGGAAAAUAUUGAUCUGCUUCUGUUAAUUCUGGAGUGGCUAGGUUCGUUGCAUACAUAUCCAUCAGAUUUCAGAAUAAUGUAUUUUCAUUCUUGAGCUCACAGUAGUUGAUAAUUUUCAUGAAGAUUUUCUUCAUGACAUAGUUGUGUUGUGACAAUUGCAAAAUUAAAUUUAGCUCCUGCUUGUGAUUUUUCAAAUAUUUACCAAACCCAUGAACAAGUUAUUCUUUGGAGAAAAAGAAAAGAAAAGAAAAGAACAUUUGGACUCCAAGAUUUAAAAUUGAUUAUUUUUAUUUAGACAUGAGAAGUAC
rnacentral:lncRNA from 1 species